rnacentral:sRNA from 1 species
AAUUUGCGUUAGGGAUAGAGGCGGCAUCCCCUCCUUUGCCCUUCAAGCCACGGAGGGAUAUAGCCGAAAGCCCGACCCCCU